GGAGGAGUGAUGAGUUUGUCCCCACCAGCUGUUUUAAGAGGGCAAACCCGUUGCAUUAAGAACACCACAUAUCAACUCUAGCUUCAACUGUUGGAGUGGGAGUGCAACUGUUUGGUUGAGCAAAGUAAACCUCGUUUGUCUAUGUCCAUCCAUGGCUGUAUAGCAGUGUGAAGCGAUUCUGAAUAGUCUGCAAAUAUUGGAUUGAAAGCUUCCAGUUG
rnacentral:misc_RNA from 1 species